UCUUUCAAUAUUGAUAUAAUUUUUUUUUUCAUCUUGGGAUUCCCUAUGAAAAAAGUGCCGGAAUAGCUCAGUUGGUAAAGCAAAGGACUGAAAAUCCUCGUGUCACCCAGUUCAAAUA
rnacentral:tRNA from 1 species